UUAUCAAACAUUUUCUGUUUCCAAAGCUAACAAUCAAAAUAAUGAAGAUGGAGCCAUAGGUGACAGGAACAACGGCGGUGGAGUAACAAAAGCCCAGUUUGCUAUUCCAAAGGAACAACCAGCUGGAGGUGCUAAUAACGUGGCCGUGCCAGGACCUUCUAGAGGAGGCGCUUGUAACGUGGUCGUUGAUGAUGACAGUGAGGACCAAGUCGUGUCAGGACCUCCUAAAGGUCAGGGAAAGACUUCAGAAAAUUGUGGUCCGACAAAAUCUGGCUCAGGAGAGUAGGGUCAUUCUGGAUGAAAACUUAUAUCAGAGGCCGGGGAUGAACAACGAGAACACAUCACAGAAUCGCAAACCAGCAAGGGCGAUAACUUCGCCAUAUAUUUAUCAUAGAGUGUUAUAUCUUGGUGCGAUGAUACAGAGUAUUAGUAGCGAAGUGACUCUCGCAUAUUGUAAUGCCUUAACGACUAAUGCAUAACGCUGGCCUCGUUUUAACGUGGAAAGCAAGCUUCAGACUAUAAGUGUCAAUAAGCGAACUGAUAACGGUUUCAAUAGUUGGAACCAUUCAGAUUUGACAACGAGGAAUGACAUUACUGAUAUCUGUUUUUAAUUUGUGUUCACUGACGCAUGCUAUUAUUAAAGGAAAAUAUAAUGUCUUAUGUCUCUACCCAGAAUACAAUGGGACCCCAAGAGUCUUCCAAAACCAGUUCAGAUAACUAUUUUGGUAGAUUUUCUUUUUGAUUAAUUGUUUUUUUUUUCAUUGUAAUAAUUUUUAUGAUUAAAUAAGAAAUAUUUAAACUAAAAUAAAAAAGAACGGUAUUCUCUUUUUGAACAAAAUACAAAGAAUGAUUUCAAUCAAAAUACCAAAAGUUUAGUAUUUUUCCGGCAAGGACAUAUUUGGGAUUUUUCGUAAAAUUAUUUUUAGCACAAUUAUAUUUUUUCUUUCAAUAACCCUUCAUUGCUCAGAUAACAAAAAAAGAAAAGAAAUUGAUUCUUCUAACCCACAGGAAAAGUUUUGAUAGUAGGUGUAGACAACCGCCUUUGUUUGAUACAAAUGAUAAACUACAUUGAGGGGAGUGGUAUGUAUGACAAAUAUUAGUUUUGUAAAUUUAAGUAUACACAUGUUAUCUUAUACAUAUCUCCUCUUACGUACUUCUAACAUGUUUUAAUUCUGUCAAAUAUUUCAUUUAUUUCUCAUUUGUAAACAAUUUAACGUCUUGAAUACAUGUUUUUGUGUUUUGAAUUUAUUGGUUCGUUUUAUACAUCUGAUAUUAUUUAUCGAUGUGAUUGCCAUAAUAUAAAUUGGCAAUAAUAAUUUUUUUUGUGAUAAAAUGAAUGGCCAUUUCUGAAGGCUUGAUAUCGGAGACCUCAGAUAGGACACAGGCGUAUGUGACCGAAGGGUCACUUGUUCAAGUCCCGGCACGGGCGCUGUGUUGUAUCCUUGAACAAGAUAGUUUACUCUGUUGUGUUCCAAUCGAUUCAGCAGUAAAUGAUAACACGGUAGGACAGUGCAAUCGUGAGAGAACUGUUAUUGGUGAUUAUCUCCCUUUAUUUUAACUAGAGUUUCUUCCCUUAUUUAGAGACCUUUACCAGAUUUACAUCCCCUAUCUAAACAUCUGUUCUACAGUUUCCUCCUCUAUUGAUACACCUGUACGCGAGUUAUCUCCCCUUUUAAGACACAUGUUUUAGAGUUACCUCCCCUUUUCAGACAUCAGUAUAAGAGUAACUUCCCUUAUUUAGACACGAGUACCAGAAUCCACCCUCUCUACUUUUCUAUGCACUGAUAUGAAUAUUAUGUUCAAUUUACAUUGUCCGAACUUAAGAAGUAACAUCCGCCUCCUUCUUCAGUCCGUAAACUCUCCAAACAAAUUUCAAUUUCUCUUACUUGGUUUGAAGUAUCUUUGGGUUAAUGCUGUACUGUUGACAAGAUUUGAUCUAAAUAACAGCUGAAUCAAGGGGAACACAUUUUGUAUGCUAAGUGUGUUCUCAUUGGUCUCAAUAGAAGCAAUGUAGCAAAUUCUUUUAAUCACUUCUUCUUUUGUAGGAAUCAAAAUGUUUUGUUUAAAUUCUGUAUGGCGUUACCUUGGUUACAGACAAGUAAUUUUGGUACAUUUCUGUAGAAAUUGACAUAUUUUUGCCUGACAAUGGUCUCCACCCCUGGAACGGAAAAUCUGAACCCUGGGACAAGAAGGGGACUUAUUUGUUAACGGAGAUUUCAUAUUCAUUCAAAGAAGGACUGCUCUCUAGUAGUCGGAGGGGUGGGACCCCAUAGUCAGGAAAACGGGAACUUGUUUGAAAUCUUGCUUCUGUAUGGAUAGACAUUUUUUUCAUCAAAUUUGGUUUGCAACAACAUCCUUUGGCGACAUGAACUGAACUGUUGUAAUCUGAUGUCUCUUCUCUUUAGAGUCAUUGAGCCAAUUGAUAGAUUUAAAUGAUAAGCAAUGCUGAGUCGUUUUUUCUAUUGAAAUUUGAAUUUAAUCUUAUUUGAAACCGGAAAAAUAUUUUUGUUACAUAUCACCUUUUUAUUGUCAAAACAAAUAAAAUAAUUUUAUAUCAAUUACUCUGUGCUUCCCGACCAUCCAAAUGAUCUAAAAAAUUGGUACAAUGAGCAUGGUAUUCAGUGACAAAACAGACCGGAAAAAAAGUAUUUUUAUUGUACUAUUAAUAAGACUGAUUAUUGGUUAUCAGUGAAAUAUCCAGGGGAGCGCCACAGACCCUCUGGACCUCUUGUACAUAUUGACGAAUAUUAAAUUGGAUAUAUAGAGGUUACACAUCGAGUGGUUGUUGGAUAUGGAAUUUAUUUCACACGAGUAAGUAUUUUUUUUUUUAAAGUUACAAAAGACACG